rnacentral:tRNA from 1 species
CUGGUUCAAAUCCAGCAUAGCCCAUUUGCCUCAAUUGUUUUCGCAAUCGAAAAAACAACGGAGUUUCGGAAU